UUGUAUAAUGGGUCAGCGACUUAUAUUCUGUAGCAAGGUUAACCGAAUAGGGGAGCCGAAGGGAAACCGAGUCUUAACUGGGCGUUAAGUUGCAGGGUAUAGACCCGAAACCCGGUGAUCUAGCCAUGGGCAGGUUGAAGGUUGGGUAACACUAACUGGAGGACCGAACCGACUAAUGUUGAAAAAUUAGCGGAUGACUUGUGGCUGGGGGUGAAAGGCCAAUCAAACCGGGAGAUAGCUGGUUCUCCCCGAAAGCUAUUUAGGUAGCGCCUCGUGAAUUCAUCUCCGGGGGUAGAGCACUGUUUCGGCAAGGGGGUCAUCCCGACUUACCAACCCGAUGCAAACUGCGAAUACCGGAGAAUGUUAUCACGGGAGACACACGGCGGGUGCUAACGUCCGUCGUGAAGAGGGAAACAACCCAGACCGCCAGCUAAGGUCCCAAAGUCAUGGUUAAGUGGGAAACGAUGUGGGAAGGCCCAGACAGCCAGGAUGUUGGCUUAGAAGCAGCCAUCAUUUAAAGAAAGCGUAAUAGCUCACUGGUCGAGUCGGCCUGCGCGGAAGAUGUAACGGGGCUAAACCAUGCACCGAAGCUGCGGCAGCGACACUGUGUGUUGUUGGGUAGGGGAGCGUUCUGUAAGCCUGUGAAGGUGUGCUGUGAGGCAUGCUGGAGGUAUCAGAAGUGCGAAUGCUGACAUAAGUAACGAUAAAGCGGGUGAAAAGCCCGCUCGCCGGAAGACCAAGGGUUCCUGUCCAACGUUAAUCGGGGCAGGGUGAGUCGACCCCUAAGGCGAGGCCGAAAGGCGUAGUCGAUGGGAAACAGGUUAAUAUUCCUGUACUUGGUGUUACUGCGAAGGGGGGACGGAGAAGGCUAUGUUGGCCGGGCGACGGUUGUCCCGGUUUAAGCGUGUAGGCUGGUUUUCCAGGCAAAUCCGGAAAAUCAAGGCUGAGGCGUGAUGACGAGGCACUACGGUGCUGAAGCAACAAAUGCCCUGCUUCCAGGAAAAGCCUCUAAGCAUCAGGUAACAUCAAAUCGUACCCCAAACCGACACAGGUGGUCAGGUAGAGAAUACCAAGGCGCUUGAGAGAACUCGGGUGAAGGAACUAGGCAAAAUGGUGCCGUAACUUCGGGAGAAGGCACGCUGAUAUGUAGGUGAAGUCCCUCGCGGAUGGAGCUGAAAUCAGUCGAAGAUACCAGCUGGCUGCAACUGUUUAUUAAAAACACAGCACUGUGCAAACACGAAAGUGGACGUAUACGGUGUGACGCCUGCCCGGUGCCGGAAGGUUAAUUGAUGGGGUCAGCGCAAGCGAAGCUCUUGAUCGAAGCCCCGGUAAACGGCGGCCGUAACUAUAACGGUCCUAAGGUAGCGAAAUUCCUUGUCGGGUAAGUUCCGACCUGCACGAAUGGCGUAAUGAUGGCCAGGCUGUCUCCACCCGAGACUCAGUGAAAUUGAACUCGCUGUGAAGAUGCAGUGUACCCGCGGCAAGACGGAAAGACCCCGUGAACCUUUACUAUAGCUUGACACUGAACAUUGAGCCUUGAUGUGUAGGAUAGGUGGGAGGCUUUGAAGUGUGGACGCCAGUCUGCAUGGAGCCGACCUUGAAAUACCACCCUUUAAUGUUUGAUGUUCUAACGUGGACCCGUGAUCCGGGUUGCGGACAGUGUCUGGUGGGUAGUUUGACUGGGGCGGUCUCCUCCUAAAGAGUAACGGAGGAGCACGAAGGUUGGCUAAUCCUGGUCGGACAUCAGGAGGUUAGUGCAAUGGCAUAAGCCAGCUUGACUGCGAGCGUGACGGCGCGAGCAGGUGCGAAAGCAGGUCAUAGUGAUCCGGUGGUUCUGAAUGGAAGGGCCAUCGCUCAACGGAUAAAAGGUACUCCGGGGAUAACAGGCUGAUACCGCCCAAGAGUUCAUAUCGACGGCGGUGUUUGGCACCUCGAUGUCGGCUCAUCACAUCCUGGGGCUGAAGUAGGUCCCAAGGGUAUGGCUGUUCGCCAUUUAAAGUGGUACGCGAGCUGGGUUUAGAACGUCGUGAGACAGUUCGGUCCCUAUCUGCCGUGGGCGCUGGAGAACUGAGGGGGGCUGCUCCUAGUACGAGAGGACCGGAGUGGACGCAUCACUGGUGUUCGGGUUGUCAUGCCAAUGGCACUGCCCGGUAGCUAAAUGCGGAAGAGAUAAGUGCUGAAAGCAUCUAAGCACGAAACUUGCCCCGAGAUGAGUUCUCCCUGACCCUUUAAGGGUCCUGAAGGAACGUUGAAGACGACGACGUUGAUAGGCCGGGUGUGUAAGCGCAGCGAUGCGUUGAGCUAACCGGUACUAAUGAACCGUGAGGCUUAACCUUACAACGCCGAAGGUGUUU
rnacentral:rRNA from 1 species